GAAAAGAGCGCGAAGACCGUCAGGCAGAGAGCUGGCAAGGUUUGCAGCGUCAUGAGGGACAGGCACAUCUGUCCCAAACGAAGACUACACAAAAGCAAGUAUGUACUGUACAUACAAAAGAAUACAACAGUUCAUUUGAAAAGCUGAGGCAUGGACUGCUUCAUUUGGUGAGGGCUUGAAUCGGAACUGAACAUUGUGCAAUCAUCAGUGGACAUCCCCACUUCUGACCUCAUGAUAGAAGGAAGGUCAUUGAUGAAGCAGCUGAAGAUGGUUAGGCCUGGGAGACUGCCCUGAGGAUCUCCUGUAGUAAUAUCCUGAGGUUGAGAUGAUUGAUUUCCAACCACCACAAACAUCUUCCUUUGUGCGAGGUGUGGCUCCAACUAUUGACAUCAGUUUUACCAGUGCUCCUUGAUGCCAUACUUGAUCAACUACUUCCUUGACAUCAAGAGCCGUUGGUAACUGUGCCUCUGAAAUUUAGCUCUGGUCCACAUUUAGAUCAAGGCUAUGAAGUCUGGACUGAAGUGGCCCUGGAAAAACCCAAAUUGAGCAUUGGUGAGCAGAUUAUUGGUAAGAGCUAAAAAGUGGCACAUGUUGUGCCCUGCCACUAUUGAAGAUCAGGAUAUGCUAAGCCACAAAGCUACAGAAUGCACUGGUGUACAUUUCAGCUGCUGCUGAUAGUCCUUCGUGUCUCAUGGAUGCCCAGUUUUGAGCCACCACAUCAGUCCUGAGUCCAUUCCAGUUAGCUCAUUUGUCAUGCCACACAACAUGGUGGAGGGGGUCCUUGGUGUGAAGACAAGUUUAGCCUUCACAUUUGUUUAACUACUACCUGCCACAGACCUAGUCUAGCAGCUAUAUCCUUCAGGACUUGCCCAGCUUGAUUAGUGCUGGUACAACCAAGCUACUCUUGAUGGUGGAUAGUAAAGUCCCCAUCCAGAGUACGUUCUGUGCCUUUGCUACUUUCAAUGCAUCUUCCAAGUGUUGUUCAACACAGGAGCACUGAUUCAUCAGCCAAGGGAGAAUAGUAGGUGAUUUUCUUGCUCAUGUUUGACCUGAUGCCAUGAAACUCCUUGCAGUCUGGAGUUGAUGUUGAGGACUGCUCCUUCCCACCAGUAUAUCACUGUACUGCUGAUGGGUCUGUCCUACUGGUGGGACAGAACAUAACCAGGGAUUGUGAUGGAGCAAUCUAGCACAUUGUAAACUUUAUUUAUACAGCACAGUAACAGGCCCUUCUGGCCCAAUGAGUCCGCACCACCCAUUUAAACCCAUGUUAACCUACCUGUACGUUUGGAAUGUGGGAGGAAACCCACGCAGUCACGGGGAGAACGUACAAACAUCGUCUAAAGGUAUGAUUCUGUGCGUACGACUGUUCAACUUUUGCUCGACUGGUCUGUGGAACAACACUCCCAGUCCGAGCACCUGUCCCAAGAUGUUUGAGAGGAGGACUUAGCAAGGUUGACUGGGCCAGGAGCAAUCUUUGCCACAUCCAAAUUCAGUGCUAGAGUCUUAACUGGGUGGUCUGUCUGGUUUUAUUCUGUUGGUAAUGCCACAUCUGAUUGGCUUGCUGGGCUGCUUCACAGUACAUUUAGAGUCAACCACAUGGAUUAUGUCUUGAGGCAUAUAGAGUCAUAGAGCAAUACAGUAAGGUACAGGCCCUUUGGCCCAUCGAGUCCAUGCCAACCAUGGUACCCACCCAUCUAGUCCCAAUUUCCUGUGUUUGGCCCAUAUCCCUCUAAGCCCCGUCCCUGCAUGUACCUAUCCAAGUGCUUCUUAAAUGAUACUGUUGUACCUGCCUCAACCACUUCCUCUGGCAGCUCAUUCCAUAUACUCACCACCCUCUGGGUGAAAAAGUUGCCCCUUGGGUCCUUUUUGAAUCUUUCCCCUCUCACCCUAAAUCUAUGCCCCCUAGUUUUGAUCUCCCCUACCCUAGGGAAAAGACUGCUACCAUCCACCUUACCUAUGCCCUUCAUGAUUUUAUAAACUGUACCAUUACACCUCAUUCUCCUACAUUCCAAGGAAUAAAGAUCUAACCUGGCCAACCUCUCCCUAUA